rnacentral:rRNA from 1 species
GACGGAAGGUGCAAGCGUUGCUCGGAAUCACUGGGCGUAAAGGGUGCGUAGGCGGCUUGGUAGGUCUGGUGUGAAAGCCCCGGGCUCAGCCCGGGAAGGGCACUAGAAACUGCCAAGCUAGAGUGCCGGAGGGGAGAGUGGAAUUCCUGGUGUAGCGGUGAAAUGCGUAGAGAUCAGGAGGAAUCCGGUGGCGAAAACGACUCUCUGGAACGGCAACUGACGGCUGAGGCACGAAGCGUGGGGAGCA